UUAAUAUGUAGUUAAUCAGCUGUACAGAGUACAGCAAAACCUGCACCUGAUGGAGAGAGAGAGACUGUGCUGUCUUUACAUCUGACUGCUUGUCUGGGGUCCACAAUUCCCACACCUCAGCCCUUCUCUCCAUCAGAUGGAAAAUGAUCGCACUGAAAAUCCACAGCUUAUCUGCUCGACAACAACAAGAAAAAGACAGAUGCUUCAGAAGAACCUUCUGCCAUGGCCUCACAUCAGUGAUGACAUCGCUUCUCUGCACUGUGCUUCCAGUUGCAAGUUGAAGGGAUGUGCUGAAUUUGCUUAUUUCUGUCAUUCAUCAAAGCAUCUUGGCACACCAGGAGCAGGGGAAGGCUUUGCUGGAAUUCUGCUGCAUAGAAAAUUCAUAUAG
rnacentral:lncRNA from 14 species